GCUGCAGCCUGCACUGGCUGCAGCAGAUCUAGCUGCUCGCUCUUCUGCGCCUGUGCAUUCCAGCUGUCAAGUCAAUACUGACUCCUCACGAUAACCCGCGCGGCAUCACACUGAUCACGCCAUCAGUCCAGGUCCUGGCAGCAAGCAAUCGUGUUGUUGUUCUCUCUGUUUAAUACGGUAGCUGCAGUAAGAAACGGUUGUGUUGCAGUCAUUUCGCUAAGUUUCAGUCACGUUACGCUAGCUGCGGGCUUUUUUUGCCUGAGCCUGUAAUUUUCUAGGACGCACAGUCAAAGGAAAGCAGAGAGUCGUUGCCUACCGUCUCAUGAUACGAUCAACAGAUCAUCUCGGCAUUGCAUGCUAUGCGGUGAAACUUGCAUCGAAACUGGACUGAACCCGCGGCGAUCGUAAGAUAUCAACUUGUGACUGACUUGAGUCUUAGCGAAAUGACUGAUACGAGAACCCACGCCACAUAACCCCUCCUUCCUCUUGCUGCGCGAAUCGUUUUACUGCUGCUACUACUGCUACAAGUACUGUACAUGCUGCCAGUUUUGCACACAUCCGUUGACCAUAUGGAUCCUGCACAGUGUAGAGCAACUGGCAUUGGCCGAGGUCGCAAGCCCAGCGGGAAGCAGAUGAGCGUGAAGGCUGCCCGUAUCCUGGCCUUCCUUCGGUGGAACGAGAAACUCAAGCUCUUGUCUUCAGAAACCAAGCAGCUGCAGUUAUCAAAGGACCAUGGCCAAGCAACUGCACCGAGUAGCAAUGCAGCUGGUGAUAGCAGAGAAGAAAACAAAUCACUGAAAAGGGAAGAGUCUCUUAGUGAAUGGAAACCGUCUUGGAUGGUAGAGGAGCGAACAAAUUGGGCCGAUCUACCCAGUCCUGAGAUUUCACCAGCACACUGGUGUUGAUUCUUCAGUUACAGGUACCUCAAUCACAAUGCAUAGGUCAGUCAUAUGGGCUGCAUUACCUGUGACCCCAUUGGCCCGGCAUAUUCCAGUCCAACAUGCUGCACUGCAUCAGAUUAGCCAUAUUCCAGCUCAUCAACCACUAUCAACCACUAUCAACCACUAUCAACUAUCUUGAAGAUUAUUAGUUACAAUGCAUCUUGACGACCGUCCGAUAUACUCGUACAAAUCUGUACACAUGUACAUGUACAUACUGAGUAUGUGUCUAGGCAAACAGGAUACGUCGCGUCUCUUUACAUCACUCCUAGACUGUUUACUGCACAGUAUAGUCUGUUCUAUAAUAGACUGUUCUAUGUGGCAAUUCGUGACCUGUUUUUUAUUGUAUGCCACAGGUAGCUGCGGUGUUAUUAGACUGUCAAUGUCCAUGGUAGCCAGUAUUAUUCUCCGUCCUGUGUGCUAUCCUCUUGAACAGCAUCUACUCUUGUAAAUAGAUGUAAUCGAUUGGAUUGCAUACUAUCACCUUUCAAAAUGCUGUAUCUCCUAUCACUACACGGUAGUACACCUGCCCCAGUCUCAAUUCUCAAUUCACAUUCAACCAUAGUAAUGCCAGUAUCGGCUAAUUAUUUUCUUUCUGCAAUUAACUUACGGCUUGUACUGCUUGUAUCACACUGUUUCUAUUAUAAUUUAUAUAAUUUUAACAGGACAACUGGAUUUGACACUUGGACUACUGGUUCGAAUCUUUCUCCGCUGUUUGUCUUCACUAUUCCCUCCAUGAUAUUCACUACAAAUUGUUGCACAAUAUUCAUUUGUUUGA